rnacentral:lncRNA from 10 species
CUCCAGGCUCCUACGGGCUGUGCGGUGCCAGGGCUCGACUGCUGAGCGUCGUGGGCUCCGAGAGGGACGCGGGCGGAGGGCAAAGAGCGUCAGAUCAGGAUUGCUGAAGGAGAGCUGAGAAUGAAACCACCAUUUAUUCAGCACUCAGAAUGCUCCAGGCAGUGUAAUCUCAUUCCAUCUUCAUUCAUGACUCCAGACAGGCUUUCCCUUCCAGGUAUGGCCACCAGUGCUCCAGAUUUACAUUCUAUUUACCUCACAACCCCAGUGGAAAAAGAAUAUCUCUUUCCUGAUUGGUCCAGCAGAAAUCUUGGUAUUAACUCUGACUGCCCACACUUGAAUAUGAACUAUUAGUAAGUACUGUGGCCAAGAGUUUGCUUCGGGAAAGAAUAUGAUAAAGUCACCUUAUCUUUCAUGUUUGCUCAGAAUAGUGAGGUGAUUCUCCACAGGAAAACUGGAAUGCUGUUACUAGAAGAAGAAAUACUGGACAAAGCUAAUAGAUGUCCCCAAAAGUGAUGAUAAUAAUUUUAUUCAAAUAGGUUCA